rnacentral:rRNA from 1 species
GACGGAGGAUGCAAGUGUUAUCCGGAAUCACUGGGCGUAAAGGGCGCGUAGGUGGUGGCUUAAGCGUGCGGUGAAAGCUCGGAGCUCAACUCCGAGUCGGCCGUGCGAACUGGGCUCACUGGAGCAUAGUAGAGGCAGGUGGAAUUCCGGGUGUAGCGGUGGAAUGCGUAGAGAUCCGGAAGAACACCGGUGGCGAAGGCGGCCUGCUGGGCUAUGGCUGACACUGAGGCGCGACAGCGUGGGGAGCAAACAGG